GGCCUGUGAUGUUAGAAAAUAUUUGCUACUCUUGAUGGGAUUUCCCCAUCUGAUGAUUUUUUUUCCACCAAGAUCUCUGAGGCC
rnacentral:snoRNA from 1 species